rnacentral:misc_RNA from 1 species
UCCAUCCAGUUAGGUUAAGGACCACAACAUGAAGCUGCAUCAGGAGGAAUUCUGAUGGGUGAAAGUGACCGGACAUGUUCAGCUGAGGAUUCCAGCCUCCUUUCAUUCCCGAUGGAUGAAAUCACUUUAAACGGUGAGAUUUAUUCUGAGAUGGUUGAAAGGAAGCUGGACUCGCUGAUCACUUAUUCCCAUGUUCAUGGGAGUGAGUGAGGCAGUGUAGCCAGCAAAGAACCUUGACAACUGCAUAGGUGAGUCUGGAAAAGAAAGCAUCUCAUGGAUGCCCAGGCGGUCGUGGACAGAUCCUGGUAACCCCAGGUGAAAGAGACGGCUGACUGGGAAGAUUCUUGAGUUUAGAGCCGAGAGCUUCCAGCGUCUUUUCGCUCCGCCGAGGAGGGAAGAGUCAGAUUCUGCGUUUCAAACCGCUUGAGUUUGAAUGGGACGAGAGACCGCGACGGGCAACCGAAGCGGUGGAUUGUUUCAUGAAAAGCGAAAGCAGGUGAAAGCAGGAGAAUGGGUCUCAACAACCCG